UGGGGAAUAUUGCACAAUGGGCGCAAGCCUGAUGCAGCCAUGCCGCGUGUAUGAAGAAGGCCUUCGGGUUGUAAAGUACUUUCAGCGGGGAGGAAGGUGUUGAGGUUAAUAACCUCAGCAAUUGACGUUACCCGCAGAAGAAGCACCGGCUAACUCCGUGCCAGCAGCCGCGGUAAUACGGAGGGUGCAAGCGUUAAUCGGAAUUACUGGGCGUAAAGCGAACGCAGGCGGUCUGUCAAGUCGGAUGUGAAAUCCCCGGGCUCAACCUGGGAACUGCAUUCGAAACUGGCAGGCUAGAGUCUUGUAGAGGGGGGUAGAAUUCCAGGUGUAGCGGUGAAAUGCGUAGAGAUCUGGAGGAAUACCGGUGGCGAAGGCGGCCCCCUGGACAAAGACUGACGCUCAGGUGCGAAAGCGUGGGGAGCAAACA
rnacentral:rRNA from 1 species